GAGUAAAGAUUUCGGUCGCUUUGGGAGGAGCUCGCUUACUAUCAGCUUGUUGGUAGGGUAAUGGCCUACCAAGGCUAUGACGGUUAGGGGGUGUGAGAGCGUGACCCCCAGCAUUGGCACUGAAACACUGGCCAAACACCUACGGGUGGCUGCAGUCGAGAAUCUUCCACAAUGGGGGAAACCCUGAUGGAGCGAUGCUGCGUGCGGGAUGAAGGCCUUCGGGUUGUAAACCGCUUUUGUAGGGGACGAAAUUUUUGACGGUACCCUUUCGAAUAAGAGGUUGCUAACUCUGUGCCAGCAGCAGCGGUAAUACAGAGACCUCAAGCGUUAUCCGGAUUUACUGGGCGUAAAGCGUCUGUAGGGGGUUUAUUAAGUUCCAAGUAAAAUUUCAAGGCUCAACUUUGAAUUCGCUUGGAAAACUAAUAAACUGGAGUCUAGCAGAGGUGCAUGGAACUUGUGGUGUAGGAGUGAAAUCCGUUGAUAUCACAAGGAACACCAAAGGCGAAGGCAUUGCACUGGGCUAGCACUGACCCUGAGAGACGAAAGCGUUGGGAGCAAAACGGAUUAGAUACCCGUGUAGUCCACGCCCUUAACGAUGAAUGCUAAAUGUUCGGGGAUU
rnacentral:rRNA from 1 species